rnacentral:lncRNA from 1 species
CGGAAUCAAAGCAAAGAUGGCUCUCAUAAAGGUAGAUAUGAUGCUUGUUGCUUCUUCAUCAAGGACUGGAUCAGGUUCGUCCUCCACAACAAAGAUAGGUUCUGGGACUUCAUCCAAAGAUAUCCAAGUGUCAAGACAUGGGCACUGAUGUGGAAUAUCCAGUGGCUCUUCCUCCAAAAAACUGUUGAGACAAAACAAGGCUACUCGGAUGCUCCGGUUGUAAAACAGUUAGUUCUACAUUAACCUGUUCAUAGCAUUUAUAAACUCAGAUUCAAGAUAUGGAAGAUCACAACUUUCUUCACAAGACAUCAAACUUUCAAUUGGUUCUUCAUCAGCUUCAUCAAAUAUGGGUGAAGAAUCUGAAAAAUCUUUAAUUCUUCAAAACAAUUUUCAGAUUCAC